AAACUAGAUGAGAAAGAAACUCUGCUAGAUAAGGAUGCAUUCUUUUAAAGCAGUGCAGCUUACUAUCAUAAUUAGUGCUAAAGAGCUAGUUACAUUUUAGAAAUUCCGUGGUGAUAGGAACUGACUAUAUUAUAUAAUUUCCAUGAUUUUGAUGAAUUGAACAUUGUAAAGAGGGAAUAGAACGCAAAUGUGGUCACCUUUGAAUCAUCCAUGCUAUACUUUUAAGCAUCCGAUGUGGUAUUCCUUGCCACACAAGCACUAAGACACAUGCUGAUAACUGCAUAAGUCAUAUGAAACACAAUUCCAAUUCAUAUAGUUAUAUUUAUAUUUGAUAAUAACAAAGAUGCAUUUGAUAAACACUAUAAAAGUGUACAGACCAAAUAUUAACUCAACAAAUUCUUCCCACCUGCAAUAUAUGAAAACGGCCAACAAAAUAUGUAUUGUUUAUCAAAUUCAUAUUUCAAAAAAAGAGAGAAAAAUUUAGGUGCCAUUUGGCAUCACUUUCCUUUUUAAGAUUCAAGAAUAGAAAAAGUGAAUAUUAUGUUUCUCUCAUUUUGCUAAUUUUAAAAAUAUAAAUAUAUUUGAUAUAAUUAAUUAUAUUUUAAAGGUAGCGAUGGUGUUGGUGGUUGAUAUGAUGGAUGUGAAGUGGAGGCGGCGAUGAUGGUGGUGUUGUUAUGAUAGAGACGAGGCAGUGAUAGUGGCAUUGGCAGCAACAAAGGUGGUGGUAAGGGCACCAAUGUGUAGUAGGUGACAACCAUGGCACUGAUGGUGUAGUGCAGAUGUUGAUAGUAGUGAUUAUAACAGAGAAAAUAGUGGCGGUGGAGGUGCCGUGAUGUGGCAGAGAUGGCGAUGAAGACAGGUAAGAUGUAGCAGCGACAGUGGCAGUCAUUAUAGAGAGGGUGUUGAUGGCGGUGGUUUUAAAGACAUGAAUUUUAUUUUUUCAGAAAUAAUGAAAGUGACUUUUAAAAAUAGAAAAUAAAAGACAAGAAAUAAAAUCAAUGGCAAAUAGGACCUCAGUGAAAGCUUUAAGUGCUUUAAUAUGACUGUCAAGCAUGGAUGUG
rnacentral:lncRNA from 1 species